UUGUCAGCUCGUGCCGUGAGGUGUUGGGUUAAGCCCCGCAACGAGCGCAAACCCCUAUCUUUAGUUGCCAUCAGGUAAUGCUGGGAACUCUAAAGAAACUGCCGUCGUAAGACGUGAGGAAGGAGGGGAUGAUUUCAAGUCAUCAUGGCCUUUAUGCCCAGGGCUACACACGUGCUACAAUGGGGGGGACAAAGGGCUGCCACUUAGCGAUAAGGAGCUAAUCCCAAAAACCCUCUCUCAGUUCAGAUUGGAGUCUGCAACUCGACUCCAUGAAGCUGGAAUCACUAGUAAUCGUAUAUCAGCAAUGAUACGGUGAAUACGUUCCCGGGC
rnacentral:rRNA from 1 species